rnacentral:rRNA from 1 species
AACGAACGCUGGCGGCAGGCUUAACACAUGCAAGUCGAACGCCCUCUUCGGAGGGAGUGGCAGACGGGUGAGUAACGCGUGGGAACCUACCUUUCGGUACGGAACAACAGUUGGAAACGACUGCUAAUACCGUAUACGUCCUUCGGAGAAAGAUUAUCGCCGAUAGAGGGCCGCGUUGGAUUAGCUUGUUGGUGAGGUAAUGGCUCACCAAGGCGACGAUCCGUAGCUGGUCUGAGAGGAUGAUCAGCCACACUGGGACUUAGACACGGCCCAGACUCCUACGGGAGGCAGCAGUGGGGAAUAUUGGACAAUGGGGCGAAAGCCUGAUCCAGCCAUGCCGCGUGAGUGAUGACGGCCCUAGGGUUGUAAAGCUCUUUCAGUGGUGAAGAUAAUGACGUAACCACAGAAGAACCCCGG